GUUGAUCAUAACAAAAUAUCACCAGUGCCAAGGCAAUGAGUUCAUUGGUCCCCAAGGCAUGGUUGGAUAAGAAUUGGAGGAUCCAGGCAGCCGCUGUAAAUAAUCCAGGGCAAAGAAAUCAAUACCUUCUCACCCAAGGAAGUGGCAAACUGCGCAUUUCUAUGAUUCCUAUCGCCAGAGUUUACUAAAGCCUUUUGCAGCCACAUGUGUGGCUCAUGCCUGUAAUCCCAGGACUGAAUGAAGCUGAGACAGA
rnacentral:lncRNA from 1 species